rnacentral:tRNA from 5 species
GCGAAAGUGGCGGAAUUGGUAGACGCACCAGAUUUAGGUUCUGGCGCCGAAAGGCGUGUGGGUUCGAGUCCCUCCUUUCGCACCA